ensembl:lncRNA
CUCGUCGCUCCUCGGGAGCGGGCUGCGCUCGCUCAUCUCCCGACACCGAAUUCGUUUUGUGUGUACUCACAGAGAGCAGCAGCUCCUUCAAACUUAGGCAGCCUUUGGUUUCGGCAAAGAAACCUUUCGCUCUUAUCGUACGCGCAGAUUUCUGUAGCAAACGCAUUUAUGUACGCAUCAAAGAGGGCGAUUUAAAAGCGAUUUGUCCGAAGACAGCCUGUGAGAAUGAACGCCGUUUCUCUAGUAGCAGAACCUACGGGUGUUGCUAACCGGUGUAAGGACAACAUGAAAUUACACUCGACUUCGCCAGUAACGGGCCGUUUCGAUUUAUUUUGUUGCAGCAUUUACGGUCUCAAUUUUAAAACAUCGUUUGGAGGUCGGCGAUGGAAGCAGCGGUAACCUUUAACGCCGCGGGGAAUGGGAACGCGGCAGCGCGAGUUGCCGCCGGAGGACAUCGGGACCCACCCUUCCAGCGGCAGGUAACCGCUCCGCGCGGCGCUUUUAUCACUGCAGCUUCGGGGGAGCGAUUCUCACCGGGGCCGCGGCGCGGGGGUGCGACCACACGCGGCCCCGCGGAGCUGUCACACGCGUGCUCUGGGGGGCUAAGCCUUCCCCCCGCCCGGUCGACAGCGGUGAGUACUUCGGGAGGAGGGGGGCAGGAUCCCGCGCUUGGUGAGAGUCUAUCGGGGGAGGCUGCGGGCUCCUAUCUGCGCCGGGUGCCGGGGUGCGCCUGGCCGCGGCAGGCACGGCCGCGUCC